rnacentral:sRNA from 20 species
CUCAACAAACUUAUGAUGGGGUGCGCGCUUUUUUAUUGAAUAAGAUAUCGGACUUAUGAACAGA